rnacentral:rRNA from 1 species
GAUGAACGCUAGCGGCAGGCUUAAUACAUGCAAGUCGUGGGGCAGCAUGAGUGUAGCAAUACAUUUGAUGGCGACCGGCAAACGGGUGCGGAACACGUACACAACCUUCCUAUAAGUGGGGAAUAACCCAGAGAAAUUUGGAUUAAUACCCCGUAACAUAACGAUGUGGCAUCACAUUGUUAUUAUAGCUUCGGCGCUUAUUGAUGGGUGGGCGGCUGAUUAGAUAGUUGGCGGGGUAACGGCCCACCAAGUCUACGAUCAGUAGCUGAUGUGAGAGCAUGAUCAGCCACACGGGCACUGAGACACGGGCCCGACUCCUACGGGAGGCAGCAGUGGGGAAUAUUGGACAAUGGGCGAAAGCCUGAUCCAGCCAUGCCGCGUGUGUGAAGAAGGUCUUCGGAUUGUAAAGCACUUUAAGUUGGGAGGAAGGGCAGUAAGUUAAUACCUUGCUGUUUUGACGUUACCGACAGAAUAAGCACCGGCUAACUCUGUGCCAGCAGCCGCGGUAACAC